rnacentral:rRNA from 1 species
AUUGAACGCUGGCGGUAGGCCUAACACAUGCAAGUCGAACGGCAGCACAGAAAGAGCUUGCUCUUACGGGUGGCGAGUGGCGGACGGGUGAGGAAUACAUCGGAAGCUACUUUUUCGUGGGGGAUAACGUAGGGAAACUUACGCUAAUACCGCAUACGACCUACGGGUGAAAGCAUGGGAUCUUCGGACCUUGCGCGAUUGAAUGAGCCGAUGUCGGAUUAGCUAGUUGGCGGGGUAAAGGCCCACCAAGGCGACGAUCCGUAGCUGGUCUGAGAGGAUGAUCAGCCACACUGGAACUGAGACACGGUCCAGACUCCUACGGGAGGCAGCAGUGGGGAAUAUUGGACAAUGGGCUCAAUCCUGAUCCAGCCAUACCGCGUGGGUGAAGAAGGCCUUCGGAUUGUAAAGCCCUUUUGUUGGGAAAGAAAAGCAGCAGGUUAAUACCCCGCUGUUCUGACGGUACCAAAAGAAUAAGCACCGGCUAACUUCGUG